GACGAACGCUGGCGGCGUGCUUAACACAUGCAAGUCGAGCGGAGCGGCGCACGGGUGAGUAACGCGUGAGUAACUGCCCCCCUCUCUGGGAUAACAGUUGGAAACGGCUGCUAAUACCGGAUAGUGGGGGAUGACUCGGGUCCUAUCAGCUUGUUGGUGGGGUAGGGGCCUACCAAGGGGACGACGGGUAGCCGACCUGCGAGGGGGAACGGCCACAUUGGGCUGAGAGACGGCCCAAACGCCUACGGGAGGCAGCAGUGGGGAAUAUGGCACAAUGGGGGAAACCCUGAUGCAGCAACGCCGCGGGCGGGAUGACGGCCUUCGGGUUAGAAACCGCUUUCAGCCAUGACGCGGUAGUGGCAGAAGAAGCACCGGCUAACUACGUGCCAGCAGCCGCGGUAAUUC
rnacentral:rRNA from 1 species